rnacentral:rRNA from 1 species
GAUGAAGAACACAGUGAAAUGUGAUAAGUAAUGUGAAUUGCAGAAUUCAGUGAAUCAUUGAAUCUUUGAACGCACCUUGCACCUUUUGGUAUUCCAAGAGGUACACCUGUUUGAGUGUCAU